rnacentral:pre_miRNA from 1 species
UUUUAAAAAUUCUAUUUAUUUGUACGGUUAAAAAUUAGCGUGGCUGAUGUACAGUGAUCAGUUUUUAACCGUAUAAAUGAAUAAAAUUUUUAAUA